UGGUAUUUAUGGCAAACCUCUGUGCAUUUCAGUUUUGGCAACGUGUUUACAAGGUAAAGUAGUUUGUUACACUUGAAUUUCUGGAAGAUUGUCUUUCUCAAUGGAAUUCGAAAAUUUAUUCGUUUGUCUACUUCUUAAAGGAUAAGCUCCGUCUUGAUCAGCUGAAACAACUUUUACACUUUGAUGAGAUGAAAGCUGCACUAUUAUUGGCCCCUGAAGAAGAAUGGUGUUCUUUCCACAAUCUCGUUCAUCCAUCACUAAACCAUGUCGCAGAAAUAUAUGAAGAUAUACUAAAUUCAGUUCACCGCUUUCGACCCAAAUUUCUGGCUACAGCUGAUGGUCUACCAUUGUAUUAUGAGCCUUACGAGUUUCAACAUACAUGUCUUCUCACAUGUCAGAAAAAUGAAAAUACGGACACUAUGGCUGCAGAUGAUGAGCACUCUGAGCUUCCGAAUGAAAAAAGGAAAUGUAAUUUUGUGCCAUUCGUUCCUUCGAGUUACUUUCUGUCACAUGAGGUGGCUGAAAAUUUGGCAACUAUAAUCAAAGAGGUAAGAGUUCAAUGUACAGAACACAUAUCUGGGAACGAAUAUAAAUACGUUAAUGGUGAUGGUCCUCCUGCCCCUUGGGAACCUUCUCUAUGUAAAUUUUUUGUCAAAGGGCUGUGCAACAGGGGCAACCAAUGCUCAUUUUCUCAUUCACUUCAAGCAAAAGAUCUGUCUGCAAGUUCUUCCUUUCUCUCAAGGUAUUUACUUGUCUGGCUCUGAGCUUCUUUGAAGUUUUGUGCUGUGCAAUUUCAGUUGUUUCUAACAUGGUUGAUAGAAUCUUACGAAUCGAGCUUCAAGCAAAAUGAUUUGAUUCAUACAGUGAAUCUUAAAUUGAGUCUAAUGGAGAGAGUUCAACAAAAACUCAAGAUUGAGCUCAAGCAUGCCCAACUCUAUUGAAUGUUUAUGCACCCAAGUUUGAGACUGGUGGAACAUUUUGGCCAUUAGUACAUAGUCCAGCUUUUGUGUUUCUCUACCAGUUCUCACUCUUAUAUUCAAUGACUAUUGCCGGAAACAUUUUCUACCCAUAUUCCAAGCUUAUUCUGCUGAGGAGCUGUCUACAGAACUUUUUCAGAUUUGCAGGGCAAAGUGAUUUUCAAAUAAUUCAUUUCAAAUCUGAGUCUCUCUUUAUUGGAACUCCCAUGAUCUCAAAGGUGCACUCUUUUCUCUUCUUUCUUCACUUCUCUUUAAUGGGUAUUUGAUAGUUUUUGUGCUGUUGUUUUGGAUACUGUGAGUUUCUGUGUUGUUGUUGUAUAAAAAAAUCCUAGAUGUCCAAUUGGAACUGAGAUUGAAGAAUCUACUGUAAUUUAUAGGUUUUUGAUGACGGGUUGUGGAAAUUUUGAAUUUUUGAUUUGGAUAUCAUAUUGUCUCUGUUCUGGUUUUCUACUAGAUUUACUCCUGCAGACUAGCAUCUUAUAGAUUGUGGAUCACCCUUUAUUUUAUUUUUAGAAUUUUAAUAGUUGGGAUUUCACACUUUGAAGAACAGCUCUGUCUCUCUGAAUUUAUAUUGUAUUUAACUACAUAGCAUUUUAUACUAUG